rnacentral:rRNA from 1 species
GAUGAACGCUGGCGGCGUGCUUAACACAUGCAAGUCGAACGGUGAAGGCGGAGCUUGCUCUGCUGGAUCAGUGGCGAACGGGUGAGUAACACGUGAGCAAUCUGCCCCUGACUCUGGGAUAAGCGCUGGAAACGGCGUCUAAUACUGGAUACGAGCUGCGAAGGCAUCUUCAGCAGCUGGAAAGAAUUUCGGUCAGGGAUGAGCUCGCGGCCUAUCAGCUUGUUGGUGAGGUAAUGGCUCACCAAGGCGUCGACGGGUAGCCGGCCUGAGAGGGUGACAGGCCACACUGGGACUGAGACACGGCCCAGACUCCUACGGGAGGCAGCAGUGGGGAAUAUUGCACAAUGGGCGAAAGCCUGAUGCAGCAACGCCGCGUGAGGGACGACGGCCUUCGGGUUGUAAACCUCUUUUAGCAGGGAAGAAGCGAAAGUGACGGUACCUGCAGAAAAAGCGCCGGCUAACUACGU